CUAAUACGUAACCACACAACGGCAAUAAUGACAACAGUAACUCCUGAGUUCUCAAAGGGCAUCGAAGCCCACAUGUGGCUGUUAGAAGUUUCCCUCUCAAUACCUUUCUCUCCUAAGGAGCAUGAUACCGGCUCCAUCAUCUCCCCACUUUGGCAUUCUUGCUCCCUACCUCUUUCAGAUCUUAACUCAAGUGUCACUUUCAUGAGUAUUUCCUUGGACAUCUUUCCUAAAAUUGCUAGCAAUUCCCCUUCCUCUUGCUGUUUGACUCUCAGCACUUUCCAUCAUCUCACACACUACAUCCCAGAUCUCUAUAGCCCUUGUCUCCAUUCGACAUGAAAACACUUCUUGCCUAAAAUCUACCUCCUCCUACUAGAAUGUGAGGCCUUGAGAGAUUUUGUAUGGUUUGUUCAUUGCUCUUCUCCCAGGGCCUAGUACAGUGCCUGUCAUUAUUAAAAUGUCAAUUUUUUUUUUUUUUGUCUUUUUAAGGCCGCACCCACAGCAUAUGAAGGUUCCCAGGUGAAGGGUUGAAUCAGAGCUGCAGCAGCAGGCCUACGCCCCAGCCACAGCAAUGUCAGAUCCAAGCCACGUCUUCGACCUACACCACAGCUCACGGCAACGCUGGAUCCUUAACCCACUGAGCCAGGCCAGGGAUAGAACCUGCGUCCUCAUGGAUGCUAGUUAAAUUCGUUUCCGCUGAGCCACAACAGGAAUUUCAGAUGUCAAUAUUUUUGUUGAAUGAAGGAAAGAGACCUGCCCUUUCUGAAUGUGGAAAGCUAUGUUCCAAAUUUGUAAGUUCCCUGGGGCCAACUACAAGAGCAUCUUGUGUUAAGAAAAUUAACAAAAACUUGGAAAUGAGAGAAAAGGAAGGCUGCUUGUCCUAAUUCAAUGUCAUAUUAAAUCAUGAUUUGAUAGACCCAUGCAGGGAUUAUUUAAUUCUCCAUGGGACUGUAUCUUUAAAUGUCAUUCCAUUUUACUGCUGAUUAGGGUUCAGAUGCUAUGAAGUUACAUGGUAACUAUCAGAUUUUUGUCUGAUAGAAAUUAAACAAUUUCUGUGCAGAAGAAAAAAAUAACCCCAAAGGUUAUACUUUAAUUGCAUUGUUGGAUAGAAAACAAUUUUUUAUCUAACCUGGCCAUCUUUUUUAUUUUUUUUCCCCUGCCUUGAAAUCUUCAAGUGCAUUGUGAAGCAGCUUUACCACUUGCCUGGUUCCCUCCUCAAAAGAUUAACCUUUAACAUGCGUUUAUUCUGUAUCUGUAUAAGAAGUCAUAUUUUUAACAUUUUAAAGAUAACAUUUUGGCAGUCUGGGGAUCCGUACCACCACGAUCCUUAAAUGGAAGAUGAGGAUCAGGGAAAAUGCAGAAACUCUGGUUUGUUAUAUUUUUGUGCCUUUGCAAGCUCAAGUCAAUUUUUAAAAGUCCCACUGUACAGGGAAACAACUCUUUGCAAUCUGGGUCCUUUGCUUUUUGUGAUAAUGAGUUCACUUCUGACUUACGGCUGAAAUUGUAGAACUGAGGGAUCAAGCCGUUUGUCCAGCUGUUUGUAAUUAAGAAAACCUUUUCCUCCUGUUGCCUGACUUUGAAAUAUGUAACUACACCUGGCAAGUAUUAAUAAAAUAGAUUAUAAAAGCUCAUAAGGCAGCUCUGUUCUGAUUGUGUUAUAAGUAACAAUAAGCUCUUACAUAAAUCUAAUGUUACUAGAAUUCCUGGAAAGUAAACUAAACUUCUAAUACUUUAAAUGUGCUAUCACUCAUCCCCCAAAUCCACAAACCAACCACCAGCUAGCAUGAAAACUUCUAGCUCAGAAGCAUUUUUAUAUAAAAACCCAAGUUUAUUUAACCAAAGUGAAUCCUUGGGAGGUCCGUCGUGGCUCAGCAGUUAACGAACCCAACUAGGAUCCAUGAGGAUGCAGGUUCAAUCGUUGGCCUCGAUCAGGGGCUAAAGAUCUGGCGUUGCCAUGAACUGUGUUGCAGGUCGCAGACACAGCUCGGUUCUGUGGUGGCUGUGGCUGUGGUGUAAGCCGGCGGCUGCAGGUCCAAUUGGACCCCUACCCUGGGAAUCUCCAUAUGCCGUGGAUGCGGCCCUAAAAAGACAAAUAGACACACACAAAAAAGUAAAUCCUUAGACAUGUUAGACUUGUUUGAUCUCUCUGGUUUAAAAGCAGCUAUAUGUCUUCUCCCUGACCUUAACUAUAUAGAAUAUAAUACAAGAAAACAUUUCACGACAGACCUCUAUUUUUUUUCUCAUGAAUAAACAAUUUCAUCUUCAUUCCUCAAAAUUCUUAUAUGGGUUUACUGAUCAGACAAGCCAACAUAUUUCACAUAAAAUUGGGGGUUAUGAAAAACAUAAAAUUAUGUAUUUCAUUAAACAAAGUUAUAAAUCUGAUGAUUGUUUAAUAUCCAACAGUGAUUGUAUUCUAUAAUAGUACAUCAACUUACACUUAACUUUCAAAAUCUUUUGUUAACCAUAAGAAUUUAAGAUGGUAAUGAGUUAAUUAAUGAAUAAUCUUUGGCUAUUUGGAUAGUUUCCAGUAAGAUAGAAACUACAUAGUUGUAAUAAGUUAUAAACUAUGUUUGUAACAUUAACCAACAAACAUAACUUUUAUAUAUUAUAUAUAUGUAUAAAUAUGUGUGUAUAUAUAUAUAAUGAGAAAUUUGCUUAAUAUGACCUCAUGGUAUAGCCACAUUGCAACAUAUAAGAAAAAGCAAAUAUAUGGAGUUCCUGUCGUGGCUCAAUGGUUAAUGAAUCCAACUACAAACCAUGAGGUUGUGGGUUCAGUCCCUGGCCUUGCUCAGUGGGUUAAGGAUCCCGCGUUGCCGUGAGCUGUGGUGUAGGUCACAGACGUGGCUUGGAUCCCAUGUUGCUGUGGCGUAGGGUAGUAGCUACAGCUCCAGUUCAACCCCUAGCCUGGGAACCUCCACAUGCCGCAGGUGCGGCCCUAGAAAAGGCAAGAAAGACUAAAAAAAUACAAUAAAAAAUAGAAAAAGUAUAGAUAGGCACAUAUAUAAAGACUAUAAUAUAUACAUGUAUAUAUAUGUAAAAUACAUUACAGUGCGGCUAUAUCUUGAGGUUAGUCAUGCAGAGGUUCUCAAAAGAGGUAUUGUCAUUUUGGACAGGGUAAGCCUUGCUGUGGAGGACUAGCCUUUGCACUGGAGAAUACCCACAUCCCUGGCCUCUACCCAUUACAUGCCAUUAGCGCUACCCCUCCCUCCAAGUUCUAACCAUCAAAAAUGUCUCCACAUUAACAAAUAUUCCCUGGAGAAAAAUCUACCAUGUUAAUUAAGGUGUUGGUUUUCGCCAUCUUAACAAUGUGUAAAAUGAUGUAUGUGACUGCUGGGAGUCAUAUUAAGUUUACACUACUAUCUAAAAUGCUUCAACUUGAAAGAUCAACUCCUCCUCUCCCCACCUCAUUCUCUCUGAAGGAGAAGUUAGUUACUUUUGCACAAUGUGAAAUUAGGAAGUUCCAGUUGUGGUUCAGUGGUAACAAGCCCGACUAUUAUCGAUGAGGAUAUGGUUUGAUCCCCGGUCUUGCUCAGUGGGUUAAGGAUCCAGUGUUGCCAUGAGCUGUGGUAUAGGUCACAGGCAUGGCUCGGAUCCUACAAUGGCUGUGGUGUAGGACAGCAGCUGUAGCUCCAAUCAACCCCUAGCCAGGGAACUUUCAAAUGCUCCAAGUGCAGCCCUAAAAAGAAAAAAGAACCUUGAAAUUAAUAUGGGUGAUUAAGACUCUGGUAGGAAGAAGGUGGCAGAGAAAUAUCACUGUGUAUAAAAGGUAAUGGAGCGUUUAUUAAGAAAAAAGGAGAGGAUUUUGUUCUAAAAUUAAAAUUAAAUGAAUUAAGCAUUUCUUUCCACAAUGUGAACACAGACAAAGAAGGUUCAAACUUGAAUGGAAUACAUAAAACUGCAGAAGAAAUGCAGAAAAUGAUUUUGAUGCCUUAGUUUGUAAUAAAUACGAAUAAUGAACCUAAAAAUAAACAAGGACACAUGUCCAAAAUUUGGCAAAGGCAACUCAGUUUUAAUGAAGUAAUUCUUGUUUAAAAAUAAAUAAAUAAAAAAUAAAGAAUUAUGUUAAUCUUUUAUGGCAUAAUAUGUUAAUUCGAAAUUAGCAUUUGGUCUUCUUUCCAUUACAAUUGAUCUUGGAGUAUUUGGUCUGCUCUUAACAAGAAGCAGGAAAGGUUAUUAUUUAUCAUCUAUGUGAUCUGCUCUGAUAUCAGAGAAUCCAUAUCUCACUAGAAUAAUUUUCUGUGCUUUGACUGACUUAGUAAUGGUCUUUAUUUUUUUUUUAAUUUUUUUAUUGUUAUUUCCCAAAAAAAUCUUUUUUCUACUGUACAGCAUGGUGACCCAGUUACAUAUUCAUGUAUACAUUAUUUUUUCUCCCAUUAUCAUGCUCCAUCAUAAGUGACUAGACAUAGCUCCCGGUGCUACACAGCAAGAUCUCAUUGCUAAUCCAUUCCAAAGGCAAUAGUUUGCAUUUAUUAACCCCAAGCUCCCAGUCCAUCCCACUCCCUCCCUGUCCUCCUUCCCCUGGGCAGCCACAAGCCUAUUCUCCAAGUCCAUGAUUUUCUUUUCUGUGGAAAGGUUCAUUUGUGCUAUAUAUUAGAUUCCAGACAUAAGUGAUACCAUAUGGUAUUUGUCUUUCUCUUUCCAUAUUACUUCACUUAGUAUGAGAGUCUCUAGUUCCAUCCAUGUUGCUGCAAAUGGCAUUAUUUUUUUUCUUUUUUAUGGCAACAGAAAUAAGAGCAAAAAUAAACCAAUGGGACCUAAUGAAUUGAGAAGCUUUUGCACAGCAAAGGAAACCAAAAGAAAACAAAAAGACAAUUUACAGAAUGGAAGAAAAUAGUUCUAAAUGAUGCAA
rnacentral:lncRNA from 9 species